AGGAGAAUUAUUGCAUACAGAUAUUGG
rnacentral:sRNA from 1 species